UCCACGUCCCGUCGGGGCGGGCGCACUACCGGCCGAUCUUCUCCGCCCUGUCGGCGAGGUCGAGCGAGAGCGUGCAAGUCGGGACCCGAAAGAUGGUGAACUAUGCCUGAGGAGGUUGAAGCCAGAGGAAACUCUGGUGGAGGACCGUAGCGAUUCUGACGUGCAAAUCGAUCGUCAAAUUUGGGUAUAGGGGCGAAAGACUAAUCGAACCGUCUAGUAGCUGGUUCCCUUCGAAGUUUCCCUCAGGAUAGCUGGCGCUCUGUCGCAGUUUUAUCUGGUAAAGCGAAUGAUUAGAGGUCUUGGGGGCGAAACGCCCUCAACCUAUUCUCAAACUUUAAAUUGGUAAGAAGCCCGACUCGCUCGUUUGGAGCCGGGCAUGGAAUGCGAGUGCCAAGUGGGCCACUCUUGGUAAGCAGGACUGGCGAUGCGGGAUGAACCGAACGCCGGGUUAAGGCGCCCGACGCGACGCUCAUCAGAGCCCACAAAAGGUGUUGGUUGAUAUAGACAGCAGGACGGUGGCCAUGGAAGUCGGAAACCGCUAAGGAGUGUGUAACAACUCACCUGCCGAAUCAAUCAGCCCUGAAAAUGGAUGGCGCUGGAGAGUCGGGCCUAUACCCGGCCGUCGCGGCGGUACGAGCAUCGAGUUGGUGCGCUAGGCCGCGACGAGUAGGAGGGCCGCGGCGGCGGGCGUAGAA
rfam:Ciona savignyi cont_44028, whole genome shotgun sequence.